UACAGAGGUCCCAAGCGUUGUUCGGAUUCACUGGGCGUAAAGGGUGCGUAGGCGGUCGGGUAAGUCUGAUGUGAAAUCUCACAGCUUAACUGUGAAACUGCAUUGGAUACUAUUCGGCUUGAGAGUUGGAGGGGGGACUGGAAUUCUUGGUGUAGCGGUGAAAUGCGCAGAUAUCAGGAGGAACACCAAUGGCGAAGGCAGCUCGCUGGGACGGUACUGACGCUGAGACGCGAAAGCGUGGGGAGCAAACAGG
rnacentral:rRNA from 1 species